rnacentral:lncRNA from 1 species
GGAAAGCAGAGGCUGGACCUCUGGGAUUCCCGAUAUUUUGAAAGACAUUUUAUGUCUGUAAUAUACAGUCAGGAGAGACAGCCAAAAGGAUGUGGAGAAAAUGUCCUCAGAUGGUUGGAGGUCUUGAAGGUUUUCUUCCCAGGGACGCCAGCACCUCUGAUCACUGAGGCGAAACCCCCUGCCUGAAGUGCUUGUUCAACAUGCUUCUGCAACAUCACUUGGUCCUCGAAAAUUUCUGGUUUGGGA